UGCGGCUGGAUCACCUCCUUUCAAGGAACUGUUCUGAGUUAAUUGGUUUACUGAUUGAUUUGGAAUGUUCUGAAUAAAAAGUCCUUUGCUUAUGGAUCGGCAAAGGCGCUGUCUGUCAGUUUCUGAUGUGUUUGUGCAUCGGGGGCGCCGUCAACAUAUCCCUUUCUGCAACAGAUGUCUGAGUGAUUUGGGCUGAUACGUUUUUAUGUAUUGUCUAGGUUAUUCAGUCGGGUUUUGGGCUAGUAGCUCAGUUGGUUAGAGCACACGCUUGAUAAGCGUGGGGUCGGAGGUUCAAGUCCUCCCUGGCCCACCACCAUUUGAGACUGCCGGUUCCUAUGGGGGCGUAGCUCAGCUGGGAGAGCACCUGCUUUGCAAGCAGGGGGUCGUCGGUUCGAACCCGUCCGUCUCCACCAAGGAUCCAGAGUGGUUUUGUGGUGUUGAGAGUAUCUGUUGCAAGGGAGUUUGUGGAUCGGACUUCAUUUAUGCGGCGCUGCGAUAGCGGCACGUAUGGGUGUGUGUCUGGUGUUGAUCUUUGUCAGUGUGAAUCGGUUGGUGCGCGUCUGGGCGUAUCAGAAAUGUGGGUUGGUCUGACCCGUAUUGAGCAAAGAGAUUUGCUCAUGCGUUAAGCAUUUCUGGUGUAAGCGUUCAGAAGCGUUUUGAAGAAGUAGACGUACUCGGAUGCGUCAUGCUUUGGAGCUGUUUGUAUCUGCGUAAGUAGGUAUGGAUGGUUUCUGUGCAUGGGGUGAGUGAGUAUGAGAAGGGCAUUCGGUGGAUGCCUAGGCAC
rnacentral:tRNA from 1 species